UUUAGGUCACAGCGCUGGAGAGAGCGAGUGUGUGAGCAUCAUCUGCCUGAUGGUCCGGCUUCUCUACGGGCUGAAGCGACAGCUUUUGAAAGCCUCAAAGUCAUCUGUCAGUGUGAAGCGACGAGGGGCGAGUCAACAUCUGUGUAGGUAAAGGAGAGAAUAAAAGAAAUUCAUACAAGUUUGGAAAACUUUGAGGUAAGCUGCUUAAACACCUACCAGCAGUGACAUCACAGGCUCUGGUGCCAGCUACUUUCCAAUACAUAUCCUUCAGUGCGGGAGGGAGGAAGAAAAGGACCAAGAUACAGAAAGCGAGAGUGGUUAUCGGUUCUUUCUGCACUCGUGCUUUUUCUUCUCAUCCUUUCUCUCGCCGCAGAGGCUGGGGGCCUGUCCUCUCACAUUAACCGCUGCUCAGACACACACAGGCCUCCACCUCGCUAGUGUGGAAACGGGUCGUCAGCCUCUGAGACGAUUAUGACAAAAAAAUGCAAAAAAUGAAUUCUCCCCAAUAGAUGAACAGCUUGAGAAGAGGAGGAGUAGGCUGUGAGGGAGAGGAAGUGGAGGAAGAAAGAAAGAAAAGUCAUAUUUCAUCCUUAAAUAUAAGAAAUAUGAUUAUGAUAUGAUUCUAUACUGUGUAUAGAGAAACAAAUCCUGUUAAAAACAUUAUUUUUAAGUGCCUUUUUUAUAACA